AACAGGAUUAGAUACCCUGGUAGUCCACGCCGUAAACGAUGUCGACUUGGAGGUUGUGCCCUUGAGGCGUGGCUUCCGGAGCUAACGCGUUAAGUCGACCGCCUGGGGAGUACGGCCGCAAGGUUAAAACUCAAAUGAAUUGACGGGGGCCCGCACAAGCGGUGGAGCAUGUGGUUUAAUUCGAUGCAACGCGAAGAACCUUACCUACUCUUGACAUCCAGAGAACUUAGCAGAGAUGCUUUGGUGCCUUCGGGAACUCUGAGACAGGUGCUGCAUGGCUGUCGUCAGCUCGUGUUGUGAAAUGUUGGGUUAAGUCCCGCAACGAGCGCAACCCUUAUCCUUUGUUGCCAGCGGUUAGGCCGGGAACUCAAAGGAGACUGCCAGUGAUAAACUGGAGGAAGGUGGGGAUGACGUCAAGUCAUCAUGGCCCUUACGAGUAGGGCUACACACGUGCUACAGUGGCAUAUACAAAGAGAAGCGACCUCGCGAGAGCAAGCGGACCUCAUAAAGUAUGUCGUAGUCCGGAUUGGAGUCUGCAACUCGGCUCCAUGAAGUCGGAAUCGCUAGUAAUCGUGGAUCAGAAUGCCACGGUGAAUACGUUCCCGGGCCUUGUACACACCGCCCGUCACACCAUGGGAGUGGGUUGCAAAAGAAGUAGGUAGCUUAACCUUCGGGAGGGCGCUUACCACUUUGUGAUUCAUGACUGGGGUGAAGUCGUAACAAGGUAACC
rnacentral:rRNA from 1 species